UACGUAGGGUGCGAGCGUUAAUCGGAAUUACUGGGCGUAAAGCGUGCGCAGGCGGUUAUAUAAGACAGAUGUGAAAUCCCCGGGCUCAACCUGGGAACUGCAUUUGUGACUGCAAGGCUAGAGUGCGGCAGAGGGAGAUGGAAUUCCGCGUGUAGCAGUGAAAUGCGUAGAUAUGCGGAGGAACACCGAUGGCGAAGGCAAUCUCCUGGGCCUGCACUGACGCUCAUGCACGAAAGCGUGGGGAGCAAACAGG
rnacentral:rRNA from 1 species